rnacentral:rRNA from 1 species
AUGCUUCUUCCUGCCGGCACUAUUCUAGAGAUCGACAAACGUUGCCGCGCUUUCUUUUGGGCAGGUGACGACACUGUCAAUGGGGGACAGUGUAAGGUUGCUUGGGAUGAGGUUUGUGCUCCGAUUUGCAAAGGCGGUCUCGGUUUCCGUUGCCUACGCACCCAUAAUAUUUGCCUCCUCCUCAAAUCGCUAAGUAAAAUCCACUGCCCAGGCAACGCCACCUGGGAGACGUGGCUUGCUAACACCUACGGCUGGGCCGGUGGGCACUACAUUGGGGACACCCAUAGGCUACACACGAACGUCUGGAAAGAUCUAACUUCCGGCCUUCCCUUUUUUCGCUCAAUCACCCAUGUCAACAUUGGCAACAGCAUCUCUACUGCCUUCUGGCUGGAUCUCUGGAUCGGCGCUGUUCCUCUAGCCUUCCACUUUCCAAAUCUCUUCUCACACACCACCAAACAGAAUGUCUCAGUUGCGUUCGUGCUAGCUGAUGUGGACCUACGUCUCUCGCUACAGCCACGUUUAUCCAACGCUGCUAACUCCGAACUUCAAUCCUUGCGAUCUCUAUUAGCCACUGUUAUCUUAAUGCCGCAGGUGCCAGAUUCGCGUUUAUGCAGGAUUAACGACAAACCCCUCACUGUUGCUUUUGCAUAUGAAGCGGCUUUUGACUCUCGGCCAGAGGAUCUGUUCGCAGACUUCAUCUGGGGAAGAACUAUGCGACUAAUCGAUGCAGGUUGUUUCUCUGGCUCGCACACAAAGGGCGUUUGUUCACCAACGAGCGUCAACUCCGAAGAAGCCUGUCAGACUCUGACGCCUGCCCGUUCUGCUCGGAAACUGAAUCAACUUCCACAUGCUGCUACACUGCCCAACGGCCUCUGA